ACGGAGGGUGCAAGCGUUAAUCGGAAUUACUGGGCGUAAAGCGCACGCAGGCGGUUUGUUAAGUCAGAUGUGAAAUCCCCGGGCUCAACCUGGGAGCUGCAUCUGAUACUGGCAAGCUUGAGUCUCGUAGAGGGGGGUAGAAUUCCAGGUGUAGCGGUGAAAUGCGUAGAGAUCUGGAGGAAUACCGGUGGCGAAGGCGGCCCCCUGGACGAAGACUGACGCUCAGGUGCGAAAGCGUGGGGAGCAAACAG
rnacentral:rRNA from 1 species